UGGACUUCAUCCUCAGGGAUUC
rnacentral:miRNA from 1 species